rnacentral:rRNA from 1 species
GCCUGCCCAGUGAAUAAUUAAACGGCCGCGGUACCCUAACCGUGCAAAGGUAGCGUAAUCAUUUGUCUAUUAAUUGUAGACCCGUAUGAAAGGCAUAAUGAGGGUUUAACUGUCUCUUUUAGUAAAUCAAUUAAACUGAUCUCCUAGUCCAAAAGCUAGGAUACCAACAUAAGACCAGAAGACCCUGUGAAACUUUAACUAAAAUAUUAAAGCCUAUAAUAACUACUUUAGGUUGGGGCGACCUUGGAAAAUAAAAGAACUUCCACACACAUAUUAUAUAAUAAUAUAUAACCGGCCAACAAGCCUACAACGACCCAGCACAGCUGACAAUUGAACCAAGCUACUCCAGGGAUAACAGCGCUAUCUUCUUCAAGAGCCCAUAUCAAAAAGAAGGUUUACGACCUCGAUGUUGGAUCAGGACAUCCUAAUGGUGCAACCGCUAUUAAGGGUUCGUUUGUUCAACGAUUAAUAGUCCUACGU